rnacentral:rRNA from 1 species
UACGGAGGGUGCAAGCGUUAUCCGGAUUCACUGGGUUUAAAGGGUGUGUAGGCGGAUAUUUAAGUCAGUGGUGAAAUCUCCAGGCUCAACCUGGAAACUGCCAUUGAUACUAUUUAUCUUGAAUUCUGUUGAGGUGGGCGGAAUACAUCAUGUAGCGGUGAAAUGCUUAGAUAUGAUGUAGAACACCGAUUGCGAAGGCAGCUCACUAAACAGCGAUUGACGCUGAGGCACGAAAGCGUGGGGAUCAAACAGG